rnacentral:rRNA from 1 species
GAUGAACGCUGGCGGCGUGCCUAAUACAUGCAAGUCGAGCGAACAGACGAGGAGCUUGCUCCUCUGACGUUAGCGGCGGACGGGUGAGUAACACGUGGAUAACCUACCUAUAAGACUGGGAUAACUUCGGGAAACCGGAGCUAAUACCGGAUAAUAUAUUGAACCGCAUGGUUCAAUAGUGAAAGACGGUUUUGCUGUCACUUAUAGAUGGAUCCGCGCCGCAUUAGCUAGUUGGUAAGGUAACGGCUUACCAAGGCAACGAUGCGUAGCCGACCUGAGAGGGUGAUCGGCCACACUGGAACUGAGACACGGUCCAGACUCCUACGGGAGGCAGCAGUAGGGAAUCUUCCGCAAUGGGCGAAAGCUUGACGGAGCAACGCCGCGUGAGUGAUGAAGGUCUUCGGAUCGUAAAACUCUGUUAUUAGGGAAGAACAAAUGUGUAAGUAACUAUGCACGUCUUGACGGGACCUAAUCAGAAGGCCACGGCUAACUACG